rnacentral:rRNA from 1 species
AUGUUGGCCUUUGACUCAUGCCCUACCAUUUUUCAUGAACCAUUAACCAGCCAAACAAAAUUGGCUAGAGGAAAUAAAAUGGCAAGAAGGCUUGUUGAAAGGGAAGAACCCGAAACAAAAAAGACGAGGAAGAAAACGCUUCCCCCUCCCUUCCCGAGGCGCUCCCGAGGGCGUCCCCAGGAGGAAACCCUAGCGUUGCCUCUCCGCCCCCCUCCCUCGCCGCGCCGGGGGCGUCGCCGGCCUAAGGCCGCGUGGCGUUGGCGGCGGCGGGGCGGCUCCCUCCCGUGCGUAGCUGGUGGCAUCGCCCCCUUUUCUUGGUGGCGUCGGGUCGGCCCUGCUCCGGCCCUCUCCCUCCUACCGGCAUCAUGUGGCUGCCGGCGCCGCCUCCUCCCCUCCCUCCAGCGCGUCUCGGGGCUCCAGUACCUAGGGGUCGACUGGCGGCGGAUCUGGCCUCCUGCUCUGUCCUGGAUGGUGGUGGUUGGCGGGGGCAACGGAUCUGGGCAUCCCUGCCCAAAUCCGGUGGAUGGUGAUGGUAGGCGAUGGCAGGGGUGGCCGGCGGCCCUGAUGUGGUGGUGGUGA